GCUCUGUACUCACAAGAUAACAUUACCACAGUCCUUGCACUAGAUUUUUAGAAGUUUUAGAAAUUGCAGUAGAAGGUUCCGGUCGACAUUAGCCCAACAAAAUGGAGGCGAAGUGCGCAGCUAUCUGGAGCUCUGUCGAUGGGAGGAGCGAGGAGUCUGAGAUGAUUGCUCACCUGCAGUCCAUGUUCUGGAGCAACAGUGAUGCUGCUGUCAACCUUUGCUCUCCAAGCACCAGUGCCAAUUCUUGUGUUGCAGCUAGCACAGUGCAUAGUAAUUUGUUCCUUCCUCUUGACAUGGAGAGCCAUAUCACAACCCCAAUGGUGAACACUGGCAUGGACCUAUGCUUUGAUCACCGGCAUCAGACCGUUACUGGUCACAAGAGGACAUCCCAUAUGGAUGAGCAGAUCAAGAGAACUAGCCAGAAAUCCCGGACUGUUCCCUCGGUAAGGCUACGAUAUUGUGAAUGCUAAGUUAUGCAUCCUCUCUUGAAAUAAAUCCUUUCACUGUUCUAACAUUCUGAUCGAUGCAAUUGUUUGCAGGUAUCAGAUGCUCUGUGUUUAAGCCUAGCUGAUAACGAGACCAAUGGUGACACUGUCAAUCAGAGCUCUUCGUCCUGCUGCAGCUCAGAAGAAGAUUCGAUUGCCGCAUCUGAGGAAUCCUUUGUUCCGAACCAGGGUGACAAUUCAAGAGGUUGCAGGCGGCCUUCGAAGAAUUUGCAGUCUCUUUAUGCAAAGGUUAGGACACGGUUAUGUUACUCUUGUUCUGAUCAUGGAAUACGAAUAUUUCUGUUCUCUGACGGUAUUUGUGAUGCUUCUUACAGAGGAGAAGAGAGAGGAUCAACGAGAAAUUGAGAGUACUGCAGCACCUGAUUCCCAAUGGAACCAAAGUUGACAUUAGCACAAUGUUGGAGGAAGCAGUCCAGUAUGUCAAGUUUCUGCAGCUGCAAAUAAAGGUCUUGAGCUCUGACGAGACAUGGAUGUACGCACCUCUCGCCUACAAUGGUAUGGACAUCAGCCUGAGUCUGAGAAUUACCGCAGCCCAAGAAUGAACUGGUCAUAAUCCGAAGCCUUGUUGCUGUCAAGUCAAAUUCAGUACAUGGUGCAUUUGUUCAAGAUCUUAACCCUGACUUUGAAUUGUUCAUUUGCUUCUUGUGACUUAGAGGAAGGUGUUGCCUUGCCAGAUACAGUAAGUAAAUAUUGUACGUAUCAAAUAAGUUGGAGCAUGCCAUAUGUAGCAAGGAAACAAUGUACUCCCUCCGUCCGAAAAUACUUGUCAACAAAAUGGACAAAAAGGGAUG